GACGAACGCUGGCGGCGUGCUUAACACAUGCAAGUCGAACGAAGAGCGAUGGAAGCUUGCUUCUAUCAAUCUUAGUGGCGAACGGGUGAGUAACGCGUAAUCAACCUGCCCUUCAGAGGGGGACAACAGUUGGAAACGACUGCUAAUACCGCAUACGAUCUAAUCUCGGCAUCGAGGAUGGAUGAAAGGUGGCCUCUACAUGUAAGCUAUCACUGAAGGAGGGGAUUGCGUCUGAUUAGCUAGUUGGAGGGGUAACGGCCCACCAAGGCGAUGAUCAGUAGCCGGUCUGAGAGGAUGAACGGCCACAUUGGGACUGAGACACGGCCCAGACUCCUACGGGAGGCAGCAGUGGGGAAUCUUCCGCAAUGGACGAAAGUCUGACGGAGCAACGCCGCGUGAGUGAUGACGGCCUUCGGGUUGUAAAGCUCUGUUAAUCGGGACGAAAGGCCUUCUUGCGAAUAGUGAGAGGGAUUGACGGACCGAAUAGAAGCC
rnacentral:rRNA from 1 species